rnacentral:rRNA from 1 species
UAGGGAAUCUUCCACAAUGGACGCAAGUCUGAUGGAGCAACGCCGCGUGAGUGAAGAAGGUUUUCGGACCGUAAAGCUCUGUUGUUGGUGAAGAAGGAUAGAGGUAGUAACUGGCCUUUGUUUGACGGUAAUCAACCAGAAAGUCACGGCUAACUACGUGCCAGCAGCCGCGGUAAUACGUAGGUGGCAAGCGUUGUCCGGAUUUAUUGGGCGUAAAGCGAGCGCAGGCGGAAGGAUAAGUCUGAUGUGAAAGCCCUCGGCUUAACCGAGGAAUUGCAUCGGAAACUGUUUUCUUGAGUGCAGAAGAGGAGAGUAGAACUCCAUGUGUAGCGGUGGAAUGCGUAGAUAUAUGGAAGAAUACCAGUGGCGAAGGCGGCUCUCUGGUCUGCAACUGACGCUGAGGCUCGAAAGCAUGGGUAGCGAACAGGAUUAGAUACCCUGGUAGUCCAUGCCGUAAACGAUGAGUGCUAAGUGUUGGGAGGCUUCCGCCUCUCAGUGCUGCAGCUAACGCAUUAAGCACUCCGCCUGGGGGAGUACGACCGCAAGGUUGAA